rnacentral:misc_RNA from 1 species
GAUGAAGAACGCAGCGAAAUGCGAUACGUAAUGUGAAUUGCAAAUUCAGUGAAUCAUCGAGUCUUUGAACGCACAUUGCGCCCCCUGGUAUUCCGGGGGGCAUGCCUGUCCGAGCGUCAUUGCUGCCCUCAAGCACGGCUUGUGUGUUGGGCCCCGUCCUCCGAUCCCGGGGGACGGGCCCGAAAGGCAGCGGCGGCACCGCGUCCGGUCCUCGAGCGUAUGGGGCUUUGUCACCCGCUCUGUAGGCCCGGCCGGCGCUUGCCGAUCAACCCAAAUUUUUAUCCAGGUUGACCUCGGAUCUGGUAGGGAUACCCGCUGAACUUAAGCAUAUCAAUAAGCGGAGGA